rnacentral:rRNA from 1 species
UACGUAGAAGACUAGUGUUAUUCAUCUUUAGUAGGUUUAAAGGGUACCUAGACGGUAAUACUAGCCCAAGAUAGGGUACGGUAUUACGUAGAGUUUAUAUGAGAAGGGGAGUAUUCAUGGAGUAAGAGAUAAAAUUUUUUGAUACCGAUGAACGACUGGCAGGGGCGAAAGCAACCUUUUAUCUGAAUAAACUGACGUUGAGGGACGAAGG